rnacentral:rRNA from 1 species
CAGAGGUGGCAAGCGUUGUUCGGAAUUAAUGGGCGUAAAGGGCGCGUAGGCGGCCAUCUAAGUCAGACGUGAAAUCCCCCGGCUUAACCUGGGAACUGCGUCUGAUACUGGACGGCUUGAGUAUGGGAGAGGGAUGUAGAAUUCCAGGUGUAGCGGUGAAAUGCGUAGAUAUCUGGAGGAAUACCGGUGGCGAAGGCGGCAUCCUGGACCAUUACUGACGCUGAGGCGCGAAAGCUAGGGGAGCAAACGGG